rnacentral:rRNA from 1 species
UACGAAGGGGGCUAGCGUUGUUCGGAAUUACUGGGCGUAAAGGGCGCGUAGGCGGCCGGCUAAGUUAGAUGUGAAAGUCCUGGGCUCAACCUGGGGACUGCAUUUAAUACUGGUUGGCUUGAAUUCGGGAGAGGAUAGCGGAAUUCCCAGUGUAGAGGUGAAAUUCGUAGAUAUUGGGAAGAACACCGGUGGCGAAGGCGGCUAUCUGGACCGACAUUGACGCUGAGGCGCGAAAGCGUGGGGAGCAAACAGG